UAUUUAUAGUCCCCAGGCUUUGCAAUGCGGGCAGGCGGUACUUUCCGUCAAGAAACAUUGGGAGCUCGGAUGCGGCCCAUACUUUUGGGCUGGUCUUGGGG
rnacentral:sRNA from 1 species